rnacentral:rRNA from 1 species
CCUACGGGAGGCAGCAGUGAGGAAUAUUGGACAAUGGGCGCAAGCCUGAUCCAGCCAUGCCGCGUGCAGGAUGACGGUCCUAUGGAUUGUAAACUGCUUUUAUACGAGAAGAAACACCCCUACGUGUAGGGACUUGACGGUAUCGUAAGAAUAAGGAUCGGCUAACUCCGUGCCAGCAGCCGCGGUAAUACGGAGGAUCCAAGCGUUAUCCGGAAUCAUUGGGUUUAAAGGGUCCGUAGGCGGUUUAGUAAGUCAGUGGUGAAAUCUCCCCGCUCAACGGGGAAACGGCCAUUGAUACUGCUAGACUUGAAUUAUUAGGAAGUAACUAGAAUAUGUAGUGUAGCGGUGAAAUGCUUAGAGAUUACAUGGAAUACCAAUUGCGAAGGCAGGUUACUACUAAUGGAUUGACGCUGAUGGACGAAAGCGUGGGUAGCGAACAGGAUUAGAUACCCUGGUAGUCCACGCCGUAAACGAUGGAUACUAGCUGUUGGGUGCAAACUCAGUGGCUAAGCGAAAGUGAUAAGUAUCCACCUGGGGAUACGUUCGCAAGAAUGAAACUCAAAUGAAUUGACGG